UGCAAAAAACAAAAAUGGCCUAUGGUACCACGAGGCUACAAGUAUGUGGUUUGGUGCCCUAACUGUACAUUGAAAUUGCAGAUCCCUAAGAAGAGAGCGAGCGAGCGAGAGAAUCAGAGUAGAUUAUAGGGCAGGGUUUGGAUUUGGGACAACGACGAAGACUAUGGAUUACCUGAAGAAGAAGCUCCUGCAUGAUUUGCCUAACUUUAUCAUCCGUAGACCUGUUCUUGCUGGUAUUGCGAUGGCAGUUGGAUGGAUGUUACCCGGUAUCAUUGACAAGCACAUUUCCCGCAGGGAGAAAAACAAGAGGCUCAAAGAGAGACAAAUUGAGAAGGACAGUUAGAAACUUCAUUUUAGAAUCAUUGCCAGUUGAAUGUUUUGUGCUUUUCCGUCUUAGUUAUUGGAAGAGAAUUGCCAGUCCCCUUGGCCCUUCUCAGUCUCCUGAGGUUUGAAUCAGUAUGGAAAAGUUGACACUUUUUAUAGGGUUUAAAAAUAAAGGAUGAUCUCUCUCUCUCUGUC